AGGUGAGGUAGAGGUCGCGGGUUAUUAAGAGUACUUGAGAUGAGACUGGGAGAGUCAAUGAAUUUCAAGGAAAGGAAUACCUGCCGAAGCAUUUAGAGUUUCCCGCUCUAAAUGCUGGGGUUGUGCCGAACAGGUACAACACUGUCACAGGAAAUAUUCCCUUCAUAUUUCCUGUGGAGCACUAUCUUACUA
rnacentral:ncRNA from 2 species